UACAGAGGGUGCAAGCGUUGUUCGGAAUUAUUGGGCGUAAAGCGCGUGUAGGCGGCUUUGCAAGUCGGGUGUGAAAGCCCUCAGCUCAACUGAGGAAGUGCGCCCCGAAACUGCAGAGCUUGAGUACCGGAGAGGAUGGUGGAAUUCCCCAAGUAGAGGUGAAAUUCGUAGAUAUGGGGAGGAACACCGGUGGCGAAGGCGACCAUCUGGACGGAUACUGACGCUGAGACGCGAAAGCGUGGGUAGCAAACAGG
rnacentral:rRNA from 1 species